UACGUAGGUCGCAAGCGUUGUCCGGAAUUACUGGGCGUAAAGCGUGCGCAGGCGGUGAUGUAAGACAGAUGUGAAAUCCCCGGGCUCAACCUGGGAACUGCAUUUGUGACUGCAUCGCUGGAGUGCGGCAGAGGGGGAUGGAAUUCCGCGUGUAGCAGUGAAAUGCGUAGAUAUGCGGAGGAACACCGAUGGCGAAGGCAAUCCCCUGGGCCUGCAGUGACGCUCAUGCACGAAAGCGUGGGGAGCAAACAGG
rnacentral:rRNA from 1 species